rnacentral:lncRNA from 1 species
AGAAGGGAAUUCUGGCAGAACCACUUCUGGACCUGUCCCUCUGCACCCCCCAUUCCUGCGCCCUCAUUUAACCUCCCUGACUCUGACCUGGGCUUGGUCUAUCUUGGGGCCUGGCUGCCGUCCUGGGACGGGAAGGGGAGCAGAUCAGAACUCAGCCUGCGGCUCCAGGCCGCUGGGCGCUGGCUGGGCCUCACGUUCUCCUGGAAGGACCACCUCCCUUGCCCUCCACGGGGUCUGCCUUUGCUCCCAAGGCUCCGCCCUGGACGGAGCGUCCUUCUUGCCUGGGCGUCUUCAGACCUUCAUCUGUGACACCGGGGGCCAUGUGGCUCACCCCGAGGAAGAGACGAGGACUCGCUGUGUUGGCUGUUCUUGAGCUUCUGGGCUCAAGCAAUCCUCCCUCCUGAGCUUCCCAGAGUGCUAGGAUUACAGUGAAGACUAAGGGCCAAGCAUGAGCCUUUCUUCCUGCUCUUUUACCCUUGAGGCAGCAGGAGAGGAUAUUCACCUCCUGACAUGACAGAUUCUGACGCUAUCUGCUCCUCUGUGACUUUGGGAAGCGGGGUAUGUGCUGCUCCUGGGCUGAUGGGGGAAAGUGCCUCUCCCAGCAAUGCUGGUGCCACUUGGUGUGCUACGGCCCCCCAGGGCAGUGCGGAGCCAUCUGGGACAGUUAGACAAUGAGAGACGUGAAGCCAUUUCAAGGUGCUUCCUUGAAAAUGCUCCAGAAAAACAGCAGAGGCGGCCUCUCUGGGGAUCCGGUCCAGCCCUUGAAAAGAAUCUGUUUGUUUCACCACUGAACUCAAAUAAGCCAACAGAUUGAAGGAAGGGAGUUUCCACGCGCCCCUCCCCACCAAGCAGUUACCUGAGUUCCAGAGUCCAGUCCGAUGGAUCCCAUUUUACCCUGGUUUAAAUUGUUUCCUUAGAAAAAAAUAAACAGAACCUCUUCUCUCACUCUCCAGUGGAAAGUAUAGAAUCAAACGUAAAUGAAAAUGACAGUUUCUAACAUGCGCGACCUGGACACGCGGCUGAACUCCGAGCCUCAGCUGCAGAGUGGGGUCAAUGCACCUACCUUGCAGCGUCACUGUGAGGAUCCACACAACAGAAAUAAACUGCUUAGUGUGUAGUAGGAGCCUCAAAAAUGAUGAUUCAAAAGCACCAGCCUGUCACAUUCAUCCCCUGCUCAAAAACUCUCCCUGCCUUUCCUAGCGCCUAAUGGACAGAUAUUAGUUCAGAAACACUUUAUAACUAAGUGGCCAUAGAGGCAGGCCUGAAGCCUAUUUUCAUUUUCUGUUUCAGUUUCUGAAUCUGUUCUUAUUUAGUCUUCCCUUAAAGGCUAUCUGGCGCCUCCGUGAUGCUUAAUCAGGACAAGCUUGCAGAUGGGUACAGGUUGCAGGCCCUUGCCUCUCUUCCCUUAACCCCACAGCAGCCAGUAAACCACCUGGACACAGAAAGAGACCCACAUAUUCUCUAAAAUGCCUGAAUGGAACAAUCUAGAAUCUAAGCAUUCCUUAUAGGAACAGAGACUACUGUAAGAUGCGGGAUAGUAAGAAGGCAGCCUAGACUCUUCAAAAGGACAAUGUUUUAAAAAAAAUGAAGUGGAGGGAUGAUUCAAGAUUAAAAGAGAGUGAAGAAAUGAGGCCAACCAGAUGCAGUGUACAGACUUGGGCCACAGUGGGGGAGGUGACAGCAGACGGUUUGGUGGGAAGGAACGCACCAGAGCCCCAUGGGCCUGCCUGGCCAGCUCGCUUGGUCAUCCUGGUAAAACAGCAGAGCUCUCUGUUCCAAGAGGCCCACGCGCAGCCCCACAUGCCUGCUGAUCUGUGUACACACGUGUGUGCACUCUAGCAAGCCUCACUUUAAUUGUGAAGAAACAUGGGAACCGGUGCUCCCACCCGGGCUGUGGGAGUGUGGUGCGGUGGGGCCUGGACACGGGGAGGGUCCGAAGUGGGGCCAGCUCCCUGGAGUCAGGCAUGUCUGUCUCAAGCUGCCCCUGUCCCUUGCUGAAUGGGAACCCCCACCAGCUGCCUCGGGAGCCCGUGUCCUUACACUCUAUUCGGAUCUGCUCCAGCUCCGUCACCUCAGCAAUGGACUCCUUCAGGUCCUCCACGAACUUCUGCAUCUCGUCCGAGCCCAGGGCACAGAAAUGCAGCACCUGCUUCUUCUCGGAGCCCGAGAGCGGGGUCACCAGUGUGAUGCCAUGAGAGUAAUCUGGAAAGCAGACCCCAGGCCCCCAGUGGGCUGUGAGCAGCAGCAGCCGAGGGCCAGAGCCAGCCAGACAUGAGGAGGGCACGGGGUCUCAUGCCUCCACCCACUCUGCUGUCCAGCCCUUCUCCCUCAACUCGCCCCAGCCAUUUCAUCCAUUCAUUCCUUCUCAAAGACUUACACUGGCUGUCAAAGACUUACACUCGUUCUCAAAGAGCUGGAACUGCAUGCCCAGCAGGCCAACUGACUUGCAAAAGGUGUACGUGGAGGAGCUCUUCUUCUUCGGGCAAAGUUUGAGAAUCUGUUCAGGAGAGGGAAACAGGCAUGCCCUGAUGAACAGACACUCACGGACACAUGGAUGCACAAACACCCGGGGGAUGCACGAUCACACAAACCCACGCAGUGAUGAAUGUGCACAUACAGGUACAGAUAUACAUAUAUGUGCACACACUAUCCCAAAAUGUGCUUCUUCACUGCACAAAACCCUACAGUGGUUAUUCCCUCUGUACUUAGAAGCCAAGCCACGGCGCCUGAGCUGGCCUGUAAAACCCACCUGAUGUGGUCCUUGCCUUACUCUGGCCUUCUGCCCAAGUGUCCUCCCUGCUGUAGCUUGAGAAGGGCAAGCUCAGUUCCACUGUGGGCCCCUCGCAUACACUGUUCCCACUCCACAGCUCUCCCGGCAGCUUUUUGCACGGCUGCAUUACUCUCAUUACUUAAGUCUCAAAUGCUACCUCCUUAGAGAUGCCUUCCUGGAUCACCUCCUCUAAAAAACAAACCAAAGCAAGCCCAAACCUGGCCCUUAACUCCAGUCACUCUCUGUACUAUCACCUGGUUUGUGGCCUUCAUAGUGCCUUCCCCCAAUCUGAUAUUAUCUUGUUUGUCUGUUUCUUAAUUAUUUUCUAUCUCCCUCCCCUACUAAAAUGAAAGCUCGUUUUAGUAAAGUCAUCUGGUUGCUUAAUAAACAAAUUUCUAUUCAGCAGCUUCUGUGAGCUGAGCCCUGGAGAUACAGGAGAACUCAGGACAGAGCCCCUGCCCUUAAGGUGCUUAUGGAAUGUGGAGUGUCACAGUGUCCAUCAGGUGAUCAAACAAUAAAGCAUAACAGCAAAAAAACAAAACCAAAGUGCUACGUGUUUUGAAGAAAAUGAAACAGGGUAAGGAAUCAAAAGUGAUUUGAGACUUGAAUGAAAAGGAGGAGGCCAGGAAGGCAAGAGGAGAGUGCAAGGUCUGGAGGAGCUUUGCAAGAAGGAGCAGCAAGUACAAAGGCCUGGCCCACAGGAGGGAGGCGCCUCCCAGGGCUGAGGAGAGGGCGGGGAGGCAGGUUAGGGAAAGGGGACACGUGGCCUGAUGUGCACUCCAGAGAGAUCACGCUGCUGCUCUCAGGGGGGUGGGGAGAGCCGUGUGGAGGCUGAUGUGGUUCACUGAAUGUACCAGGCGUGCACUAAGACUGUAGUAGUGGAGGUGGUGAGAGGUGGUUCAGGCUUGUGAUCACUUUGGAGGCAGUGCCAACGUGGCUCAUGGAUAGAGAGGGCCGGUGCGAGGGAGACACAAGCCCUGCUCCAGUCCUGCUCACCAGUUUUCCAGACCUACAAUGAUGCCUGGCACAUGGUCAACGCUGAUCAAAUAUUUGUUGAAUGGAUACUUCUUUUCAAAGAGCAAAAAAAGUAUCUGUGGGUACAGAUGUGUGUAUGUGUGUGCACGCACACACACACACCAGCCUCGCCUAGGCCCAGGGACAGAGCAUGCUCCGCCUAGGCCCUGCUCCUCCCAGGCCCUGGGGUCUGAGGCACAGCCCUGUGCACUCCCUGUCCUGGGCUUCCUGUAACGUGGAGAGGCCAGUGGUCUGGGAACUAGUUCGUUAACAGUUUGUGCAACCACGAGCAGAUCAUCUGACGUCUCGGUGUCAUGACUUAUGAGGGACCCUGCCCAGGCUGACCAGGGCGGCAGAGGCAGCCCCAGCCCAGCCCAGUCCCGGAGCGGAGGCCACUCACCACCAGCAGGUCAUUGAAGAGGAACACCUCCCUCUGAUGCGCUGCCUGCUUCUGCAGCUUGUUCACAUCCGUCACCUCGAAGAGCCGGCUGCAGCACACCAGGCGGCGGUGGGGCACGGACAGCACCUGCACGCGGGCAGGGCGCUCAGCGGGAGAGACCAGAGGCCUGGAGGCCUCCCCACCCACGCGCCCAUUUUCCAGAAGAGGAGACAGCCCGGGAGAGGGGAGGGGCCCGGUUCUGUGGAGGGAGGAGAGGGGAGGGGUCCGGUUCUGUGGAGGGAGGAGAGGGGAGGGGUCCGGUUCUGUGGAGGGAGGGGAGGGGAGGGGUCCGGUUCUGUGGAGGGAGGGGAGGGGAGGGGUCCGGUUCUGUGGAGGGAGGGGAGGGGAGGGGUCCGGUUCUGUGGAGGGGGAGGGGAGGGCUCCGGUUCUGUGGAGGGAGGAGAGGGGAGGGGUUCGGUUUUGUGGAGAGGGAGGGGAGGGGCUCCGGUUCUGUCCUGGGGCCUGGACUUGACUCUCAUCCUUCUCUCUCCUCGUCUGAGGCUCUUUCCCUCGCACGUUCACCCCCUGUCCCAGGGCUCAUCCCUGUCAUGCUUCUUGGGGAGCACGGCCAGAGAAGGGGCCCACUGAGCCACAGUAAAUGAGGGGAUAGAGGGACAGGAAUAGGAAAUUGAGAAGAGCUUGCAGGCUGUUCCAGUCCAGCCACUGUCAACCUGCUUCCCUCCGUAACCUUGAGGGCAUCCCCUGCCCCAGGCUGCGGCCUGCAGAUAUGACACCUCCACCCUUUCUAUACUGCAGAGAUGCAGGUGUGCGAGAGCGAAGGGAUCACAGAGACACCUGGCAUCUACUCCAGCGUGUAAGACAAACCAGUCGCUUGCAACCCGACAGAUGCUGAGACCUCAGCAAUAAAGGCUCUCAAAGCAGAAAAGCCUGUCCCUGCACAGACUGGGAGGAGGGAGCCCAGUGCAGGGCCUCAGAAGAGAUCUCCAAACUCUCCCACACCGUCCCCUGAGGCAAGAAUAUGAGGAGGAGGAACUGGAACCCCCAUGACAUCCUUUAUAGUAUAAAGUGUAGUAGCCUACAGAGAAGUCCCACUUUAAAAAUCAUGGCAGGCUUGGAACAUGCUGCCUGGGACACAGGUCACUACCAAUAGGACAAAUCUAUGGUGAUGCCACAGCCUGGAGCCUAUUGAGCCCAUUUCCUGCCUUCCACUCAUCAGGACCAUCCAGGAAUGCCUGGUAGUCAUGCUGUCCUAGGAAAGGGAUACUAAAUCUCAUCUGGCCACCCAGAUGCUUCCACCCUAGACCACUGGGCAGUCCUUCCUGACAUCUCAUCUCCGUCUCUCCUGCUGCAGUAUCGGGUGGCAAGAGGCAAUGAGGAAAUCAGGCAAGAAAAAAAAAAAGAGAUGCAGUGUCUGGCACACAGUAGGUACUUCAUAACUAUCAUGUGAAUGAAUAUGAAAAAAGAGUUUUGGAAAGGUAAGAAGGAGAAUGGGAAGAGAUGCCAGGAAGAAAGAAAGGAAAGGAGACGGGAGAUAGGUAGCUUGUGGACACUCACUGUCUUCAUGCCCACAAUGGACUUCUCCACCUUGGUGACGUACGUGACGUGGUCCUCAUUGGACUUGAGCUCCUUCUGCUGUAUCCUCUCAUAGAUGCCUACCACCAGCUCCCUGGGGAUGUCAGCGCCAUCGUCCACACCUAACAACGUGGAGUGGGCAGGGGUGGUGGUGGGGUUGGGAGGGAGGGUGUCAGAGCCCUGGAGCCAGACAGAAGAGACCCCCAUCCAGCCUGGAGCUCCCGGGGGGUGGCCUUGGUUCUUGCCAUGCCUUCAAUGGCUGGUGCCUCAUACCCAUUCAAUUAAGAACAAGUUCCUUAGCCAGGCACCAAAACUAAUGAUAUGGCCCCAACACACAUCUCCUGCCUCACCUCCUGAUGUUCCCCAACCAGAGUCUUCACGCCCACCUCCCAGGCCUCUUUCCUGAUGGCAGAUACAGCCUCCAUGUUCCUGCUAACCCUGUGCGCCUCUGCAGUUCUGUCGUCUUCCUUGUGUUCGUCUCACCCCCCAGCUCCACCCCACCACUCCAGCAUCAUAAGGAGCUUCUGUUUCGUUCUCUUUUGGAUCUUCCUCCUGCUGGGCUCUCCUCUCCCCUCCAGUAGGGAGCAUGGCAUUGAGGGCUUAGUCUUUGAAGAGAUUCCUCCCUCACUGGGAGCAGUGGGGGAGCAGGCAGACCCCUGGCAAUGCAGGCGAGGACACCCCUGUCCCACCUCCUGCUUCAUAGUAAUGAUAAAACUCGGGCAACAAAAAAACACUGGCAGGAAAUAUGCCAACAAGAAAACACGUUUCUUUUGGAGAAACAGGCGAUUAAAAUAUCUUCUUUCUACUAUUUCCAAAUCUUUCUUUAAUGACUAUACGCUUCUUUUAUAAGAGGGAAAAAUUAAAAAUAAAACAACUUUGGCAAGCAUCUCUCAAAGGAGUGUUCCCAGCUACUGAAAGGACACCCCGCCUUCCACACGCAGCUCCCGGCCUGCUCUGGUCUCUUCCACGUCUGAUCUUGGUUCUCGAAGUCAGGCAAAUGAGCCAUGCAGCAGCCAAGGAGGCUGAAAGAAAUCAGGCGGCGGGUGAGAAAAACCAAGGAGAAAGGCUGAGUGUAUGGAUGCCCCCAGUUCAAGGUGGCAGGCUGCAUGCCUCUGCUGCUUCUGAAUACUCGGGAGAAAGGAAUCUUUUAGAAAAGCAUACACCCACAAAGACAGAGAACAGGGGCACAGGCACCCCAGGACCUGGCAAGUGGAUAAAUAAGUGGAUGGAUUUAGCAAACCUGAGAAAGCUGAACCCAGACCAGCAGAGAGGUUAGAAGCCACUCAAACACCACACAGCCACCAAAGGGCUUAGAGCUGGUGGUAACAGCAGCCCCUAAAAGCGAAGGUGAAGGUGGGCUGGGAAUUGGAAAACAGGUUGAAAACGGGUUAGAAAGCUGCUGGGCUUCCCUAUCCCCUCCUCACUCCAGCAGAAGACUGGGGGUCCAUUCUCUGGAACUCUGAGAUGAGGGACCCCACACCCAGCCAAGCCGGGACUCUGCUGAAUACUGGGGGAUGAAGUUGAUAACCUAUAUAUUAACCCUCAACUCCACUUCCCACUUAAAGAUCUCAGAACUCUGGCAGCCAGAAUCAUACAUUCUGGGCAACAGAUUGAACAUUUAUCUUCUGGGUAUCAGGCAGAACAAGAAAAAAAUAUCUCCAGAUACUGCAGUAGGGUCUCCCGGUGAAAUGCCUUAAGUAAAUCACCCUACAAGAAAGCUCACCAGCCAGCAGCCUCCACCUGUGUUCACAGAGUCAUUCAUCCGCUUUCUGGUGGCUCACUCUUAAAUAUGAAUGAACAACCAGAUUUCAUCAACUGCAUUUGGAAAGUCUAUACCAGGAAAGAGAAAGAAAUAUGGGGGAAAAAAAAAACAGAAAAAAGGACUCCAGAAGAAAUAGAGGCAAACAGAGAGAAAAACAAACAAACAAACCAAUAUUAACAUCUUCACCGAGAUGGGAGAAGAUAUUGCAUCUACAAAGCAAGAAUAAAAUGCUAUAAAAGAGGAACAUUGAGAGGACAAAAGAGAGCUAUUGAGAAUGAAAAAUAUGACAGCAGGAAUGAAAAACUUGGUAGGAGACACAAAAGACGGCACUGAGGGACACUUUCCAGAAAGUCAAGGAAGUAAACAAAGAUGGCAGGUAGAAAACUAUAAAAGUUACGAGGAUCAGACUAGGAGAUCCACCAACAGAAUAGCAGGAGUUCAAGAAAGAGAGUCCAGAGAAAUUGGAGGGCAGAAAUGAUCAAAUACAACAUUUAAGAAAACUUCCCAUGACCGGAGGACAUGAGUUUCUAGAUGGAAAGGACCAGUCCAGCCCUGGGCAUGAUGGAUGGAAGAAGAACUGUAGCAAGAUGCAUCAUCGUGAACAUCCAGAACACGAAGGCAGACAGAAGACCCUGCAAGCUUUCAGAGAGAGAGAAAGAGUAACAGACAAAAGGCCAGCAGCUGGGAUGGCAGAGCAGCACUGGCAGCUAAAGGACAAUGCAGCAGCAAUGCCUUUGAAAUCCUGAUUGGCGUGUUUUGAGGCUGGAAUUCUAUCCCCAGCCAAACUCCCAACCAAGGGCAAAGACAGAAAAAGAUACAUUCAGAAAUGCAAGUUCUCAAAAAUGGCCUUUUCUCUGAAAGUAAACUAAAAAUGAGGAAGCUCUGACAUGCAGGAACCAGGAAUCUGUCAUGAGAGCAAGGGAAGGAGGGCCCAGGAUGCAGGCUGUGCCCUGGCCCAGCCACUGUCCAGACUGGAGCAGGACCAGAGGCUCCCGGAAGAUGACUCUCCCGCACCACCUCCCAGGUCUGGACAUAUGGAGAGGAGCUUGAUACGUAGGGUGGGAAGUGGGGGCUGAAUCAGGGGAGGUCCUCAGAGAGUUAAGCAAAUGGAAAGAGAAGCAUUAACUCCAAGGAAAGUAUAGAUGAAGGGAGUUGCAAUCAUUCUGCACUUGCAGACUCAGCUUUGGAGUGUGUGUGCAGAGCCCUAAUAACAUGAGCACUGACGUGAGUGGGAUGGGUCAGGGAAGGUGGAUGAAAGAGGGCUAAAUCCUUACAUUCUAUAAUGGGGAAUUAAUAGAUCAUGCUUAAAAUAAAAAUAAUUAACAAGGGCCAGGCGUGGUGGCUCAUGCCUGUAAUCCCAGCACUUUGGGAGGCUGAGGCAGGCGGAUCACCUGAGGUUGGGAGUUCAAAACCAGUCUGUUCAACAUGGUGAAACCUCAUCUGUUCUAAAAAUAUAAAAAUUAGCUGGGUGUGGUGGUGCACACCUGUAAUCCCGGCUACUUGGGAGGCUGAGCCAUAAGAAUUACUUGAACCUGGGAGGUGGAGGUUGCAGUGAGCUGAGACUGCACCACUGCACUCCAGCCUGGGCAACAGAAAUAAUAAUUAACAAGGAGCAGUGUAUAAAAGAGACCAGAUACCAAAGUAUAAAUACUGUAUAGCUCUAUUUAGAUGAAGUUCAAGGACUGGCAGGACUCGUCAAAUGGUGAUAAAAGGCAGAAUAGUUGUUACUCUUGGGCGAAGGCAUUGACUGGGACGGGACAGGAGAGAACAUUCUGGGCAGGUGAAAAUGAUCCAGAUCAGGAUCCAGGUGUGAUGACACAGUGCACGUGACCGUACACAUUCAUCAAACUUCAGGCUUACACACUCACAGUCUGGACUUUAUGCCAGUUAAAAAAAGAGAUAGAAAAAAGCGAAGCAGAAGCCUGCGGUUUAUCGAUACAGAAGAAACGCAAAUAGCUAAAAAAGUCAAAAGUGGUUGCCUCUGGAGAAGGUGAGUGGUGAGAGGGGCAGCGACUAAUUUUUUUCUAUGAUAAGCCUUGUAGGAUUAUUUGACUUUAUUAAAUUAUGUGGAUGUAUAACUUUGAUUCUUUUAACGGGUAAAAAAAAAAAAACAAUUGCGCACACAUCACACUCUGCCAGUCCUGGUUUGCUCCCUGCCAGGCAGUGCGCUGCAUCGAUGAGAGAAGGACUUGCCAGCUGGUGCCAUACAGUUAUCUGCAAGGCUGACUUAAAUGGACCCAGGGCCCUGCUCCUGGCUCCUUCCUUGUAAGUUGUGGAGGGGAAGGGCUGGCACCACUUGAGCCGCCAGCUCUGGUGUCAGGGGCCUAGAGGCCAACCAUGUUCCACGGAGGGCAAGAGGCACUGCCCAAGGGCGCUUGCUGUUUGGUAGAGCGGUGGCGGUGGCAGGCUGCAUGCCGGAAACUCCCCAGCCGCCUGGCUCACAAGGAAUGUUCCCAGCUUGCUAUGGGUGACCAGGCCCAGACAGCAGGUGACCAUCUGUGAUAGGGGCUCAGACUCACAGAAUGCACGGUGCACAGAAUGGGGCCUGAGCCGUGGCCUUGCCCCUCCUGCCCCAGUGCCCACCUCCUCACCUCGAAGGCGAGGAUGAAGAUGGUGUCGG